rnacentral:rRNA from 1 species
AUUGAACGCUGGCGGCAGGCCUAACACAUGCAAGUCGAGCGGAGCGGCGGACGGGUGAGUAAGUCCUGGGAAUGUGCCUGGUAGAGGGGGAUAACGUCCGGAAACGGGCGCUAACACCGCAUACUCUCAGAUGAGCCUAGGUCGGAUUAGCUAGUUGGUGGGGUAAAGGCCUACCAAGGCGACGAUCCGUAACUGGGCUGAGAGGAUGAUCAGUCACACUGGAACUGAGACACGGUCCAGACUCCUACGGGAGGCAGCAGUGGGGAAUAUUGGACAAUGGGCGAAAGCCUGAUCCAGCCAUGCCGCGUGUGUGAAGAAGGUCUUCGGAUUGUAAAGCACUUUAAGUUGGGAGGCGUUACCAACAGAAUAAGCACCGGCUAACUUCGUGCCAGCCGCCGCGGUAAUUC